AAAACAGGUGCAAUUUGUUAACCUUAUUGCUACAUGUUUCGUAAGGACAUCACAGGCAAAUCUAGUCAUUCGCAAUGACGAAUUCAAUUCAUUCGGCGCUGACCAAAGAGAGCGUAUUGUGGUGUCACGCCGAAGAUUAGCGGCAAACUGAAGCAGCUUCGUCCUCACUGAGGAAACUAUCGAAAUGUACAAUGUGUUAACCAGGAAGCCAGGAUCUCUCCUUGCGCGUGCCUGGGAUUCAAAGAGAGGCUAAGCGAGGUCCAGCUUUUGUGUUCAGCAGGUCCACCCAGCACUUCACAUCAAGGCCCUCUUCAUUAACCGUCUGCAGAGACACAAAGGCCUGCUCCCCACCAGCUCCAUCGUAGCUCAUGUAUGAAGAGUCCAUCCACCUACGCUCAUGAAAUGCACUUUAAAUACAAUCUAAUAAUAAUGAUGAAAUGUAAAAAUGGAAGUAAUGAUCCAAAGAUAUGAGUAUAUGUUAUUAUAUUUUUAUUCAUGUAAUUGAUUAUGAUUAUCAUCACAUAUACAUUUUUGGCCAGCGUAUUUCAUUGAGAUUUAAAGUUAUUAAGCUUUUGUAGUAUUUAGCCUUUCUGUGUAGGUGACCUUUGUCUCACAGCAAUGGUAAAACCUUUAUCCAUGGGACUGAAUUAAAGAAAAGCCAUAAAAAAUACUUGCCUGUUUGUUAUCUCGGUAAAGGACAAGUAAGUUUAACUUGAGCAAAUGUCCGUUUAAUAAAACUGUAUAAUUAACAGACCGAGGAGACACAGCUGCACUUUUAAAUCACUUCAUUCUUUUUUAUUGUCUUGUGUUUUCCUAGCAGGCAAUAACAGUUUUAUGAGUCAAACACUUUACAUUUUAACACAGAAGUUCCUUAUUAAGGAUUCCAGACAGCACAUGAGGAGGCAGCAAUAGGGAAGCCAUUAUACGAAAUGUUACAACCCCCCCCC